GUGAAUGAGAGACACUGAGUAUGUGAGUGGAUAUGACAUGAACUGGGUCCGCCAGGCUCCAGGAAAGGGGCUGCAGUGGGUCGCAUAUAUUAGAUAUGAUGGAAGUAGCACAAGCUACGCAGACUCCGUGAAGGGCCGAUUCACCAUCUCCAGGGACAACGCCAA